rnacentral:lncRNA from 1 species
GGGGAGAUUACAGCUAACAAAUUCAAUUUUCUCUGCCUUGCUGAUAUUUCAUAUGAGUACCUUGCUGUUACCUAAGUCAGUAUAUAAACAAGUGGAUAAAUAUAGAAAGUACUGUUUUUGGAGAGGCUCGGAUAUCAAUAACAAGAAACCGCCUAAAGCUGCAUGGGACAUGUUGACUUUACCAAAAAAGGAAGGUGGUCUAGGUGUUCUGAAUCUGCAGACACAAAAUGAAGCUCUGCUGCUUAAAUUCUUACAUCAAUUUUAUAAUAAAGCAGAUAUCCCGUGGGUCCAUCUAGUAUGGGAAAAAUACUAUGGAAAUGGUAAACUGCCAGGCACUACAUCUAAAGGCUCCUUUUGGUGGCGGGACAUCAUUAAACUCUUGGACAAAUUCAAAGGAAUAGCCUCAGUGUCUGUGAAGGAUGGCAGUACCUGCCUUUUAUGGCAUGAUCUAUGGAAUAAUCAGGUGCCAACACAAGUGUACCCACAUCUGUUUUCUUUUACUCGGGAUAAACACUUAUCUUUGAAGCGAGCUUACUCGAUCACGGACUUGCAGCAUCUCUUCUUCCUGCCCUUGACGCCACAAGCCUAUAAUCAAUUGGUUCAUCUUGCUGAAGACCUAGAAAGUUUAGACCUCUCGCCUGAUCCAGACUCUUGGAUAUAUAUCUGGGGUAAUGCAAUUUUCUCUUCAUCAAAGGCAUAUAAGUCUCUCAUUGGACAUAGAAACACUCAUCCAGUAUAUGAUUGGCUAUGGAAGUCCCGGUGUCAAAAGAAACACAAAGUCUUCUUUUGGUUGGUUUUGAAAGAUAGACUUAGUACACGGGAUAUCAUGCGGCGCAAACAUAUGGUUAUGCCCUCAUAUAACUGUGUCCUCUGCUCCCACAACAAAAUUGAGACACUCAUCCAUCUCCUGCUUGAAUGCUCUUUUGCUCAAGAAUGUUGGAUUCAUCUAGGCCUUUAUGCCGACUUACAGCUGGACCCUUAUUCCAUUUUGACUUCCUUCAAAACCCAGCUUCAGGUUCCUUUCUUCAUGGAAAUAAUCAUAAUCAUGAGCUGGUGCAUAUGGAUGACAAGAAAUGAUUUAAUCUUCCGAGGCAUACCACCAACAACGCAAGGGGCCAUCUUGCGGUUUAAGUCUACCUAUGCCUUAGUCCUGCAUAGAGUUAAAGAGGCCUCCAAACAAUCAAUGGUUGAAUGGCUAGAGCUUAUGUUGUAAUCUUCAUGAUUUUCUUUUUAACCUUCUUUGUUUCUUAGAUACAAACUGGUUUGCUCAUUGUAAUCCCUUUAUUUCUUUUUU